AUGGGAUUUUUGAUUCUUGUAAUUUUCGCUCUAGCAGCUUUGGAAGGUGUCCGGUCCCAGGUGCAGCUGGUGGAGUCCGGAGGGGAUGUGAAAAAGCCCGGAGACUCUCUCCGCCUCUCCUGCAAAGCCUCCGGGUUCGACUUCAGCAGCUACCAUAUGGACUGGGUCCGGCAGGCUCCUGGCAAGGGACUAGAAUGGGUCGCUUUUAUAAGCACUGAUGGGAGUACUAUAUACUACCCUGAUUCAGUGAAAGGCCGAUUCACCAUCUCCAGGGAUAAUCCCAAGAGUGAGCUGUAUCUGCAAAUGACCGGCCUGAAGCCCGAGGACACCGCCCGCUAUUACUGUGCGAGAGAC